AGCUCCAAUAGCGUAUAUUAAAGUUGUUGCGGUUAAAAAGCUCGUAGUUGGAUUUCUUCUCUUGUCAGCCGGUCCUCACUUCGUGAGAGUAUCUGGUCAGACUCGAGAAUCCUCUCGGGGAACGUCGUUGCGCUUGAUUGCGUGACACGGGUGCCGAGACUUUUACUUGAGGAAAUUGGAGUGUUCACGGCAGGCAAUCGCCUUGUACACAUUAGCAUGGAAUAAUAAUAUAGGAUCUCGAUUCUAUUUUGUUGGUUUCUAGAAUCAAGAUAAUGAUUAAUAGGGACAAUUGGGGGCACUCGAAUUAACGCGUCAGAGGUGGAAUUCUUGGAUUGCGUUACGUCGAACUACUGCGAAAGCAUUUGCCAAGGAU
rnacentral:rRNA from 1 species